rnacentral:rRNA from 1 species
UACGUAGGGUGCAAGCGUUGUCCGGAAUUACUGGGUGUAAAGGGUGCGUAGGCGGAACUGCGCGUCGAAGGUUAAAGACCUCGGCUCAACCGAGGAAGUGCCUUCGAUACGGCAGUUCUAGAGUAUAGGAGAGGAUGAUAGAAUUCCUGGUGUAGCGGUGAAAUGCGUAGAUAUCAGGAGGAAUACCAGUGGCGAAGGCGGUCAUCUGGCCUAUUACUGACGCUCAGGCACGAAAGCGUGGGGAUCAAACAGGAUUAGAAACCCCGGUAGU